AAAGGAUGCAAUAAUUAUUUGGGACCCAAGUCCAGUAUCAUUGAGUCUGUACAUGUCUCUGUACACAGCUCUCGAUGCUGCAUUUGUGGAGGAAUCUGUAUUAUAGAUGCAGGCUAAACUUAUGUGUGAUUCAAGAAUGAUAGAGAUGUUGCUAUAAUGUUUGGAAUUGUAACCAUGGUGCUUCAUAAUUGAACAGUAAGAUGGUCAUCCUUUCUUGUGCAUGAUUCACUGGCAACAUGCAAAUAUUUGCUGGGUAAACUUUGAUUUCAUUCUCUGAAACUUUAGAUAAUGGGAACAAUUUGUAUUGGGUAAUCCUACUGUUUGCUCGGCCGGAAGGAAGGUAUGCUUUCUUCUGCUUUACAUGUUGGACUGGGAGCCGCAGUUAUUGAAAAUAUUGGGCAGGCUUUUGGUACUAAAAAAACAGCGGCGGUUGUUGCAGUAUGAUCGGGUAUAGAUCUUGGAAAGGACUUUAAUUAGUAUGUUCUAUAUUGACUUGACAGGAACAUGGUUUCAGGACAGGCAGUCCGGCUGGACGACUUGACUCCCACGAUCUAGAUGAGUCUUUGGAGCUGUGGAAUGUGAUAGAGAACCAAACCAUGACGGUCCAGGCACACGAAGGUCUUAUUGCAGCAUUGGCACAGUCACAAGCCACAGGAAUGGUGGCCUCUGCUAGCCAUGACAAGUCUGUUAAGCUGUGGAAGUAAGCAUGGGGGGUGUUGCAGUGGAAGUAAGCUGUGGAAGUAAGCCACAGGAAUUUUUGGAAGCUACUUUGAUGGUUUAUGUAUUCGUAGACUAAAUGUUUUGUGUCAUCUGUACUGAACUUCUUGUUCUAUCUUACUAAUCCCAGUGGUGUAGAAAUGCAUACCUUGUUAUAAUUAGUGUUGGAAGCAGUGGAACAGAGCUACCGCUGCACUGAUUGUUGGUAAAUCUUAGUUUUUAAGGUAACACGUGCUUGCUUUUCCAUGUCUA